AUUGAACGCUGGCGGCAGGCCUAACACAUGCAAGUCGAACGAGUGGCGGACGGGUGAGUAAUGUCUGGGAAACUGCCUGAUGGAGGGGGAUAACUACUGGAAACGGUAGCUAAUACCGCAUACCAUCGGAUGUGCCCAGAUGGGAUUAGCUUGUUGGUGGGGUAACGGCUCACCAGGGCGAAGAUACCUAGCUGGUCUGAGAGGAUGAACAGCCACACGGGAACUGAGACACGGUCCAGACUCCGACGGGAGGCAGCAGUGGGGAAUAUUGCGCAAUGGGCGCAAGCCUGAUGCAGCAAUGCCGCGUGUAUGAAGAAGGCCUUCGGGUUGUGAAGUACUUUCAUCGGGGAGGCGUUACCCGCAGAAGAAGCACCGGCUAACUCCGUGCCAGCAGCCGCGGUAAUUC
rnacentral:rRNA from 1 species